rnacentral:lncRNA from 1 species
CGUCACUUCCUCCCCGGCGGCCUCCGCGGCCCUGGCGCCCGGUUACUAUGGCAAUGCCGCCGCUCGCCCCGGGGCGCUAGUUUGGGGCCGGGUUUUCGGUGCAGGUGCCCGGCGGGUGCGAGGGCGCUGGAGAUGGCGGCUGGGAGACACCAGCAGAGUCCCGGAAGCCCGAGACGUCCCAGGCACUUCGGUUGCGCUCCCAGCCGGCAGAGGCGCGCCUGGAUUCUGAGACCAGGAAUCGGAGCUGCGCUAUUAGAGCGCAGGGCUGGAGUACAGUGGUGUGAUCCUAACUCAAGCAACCCUCCUGCCUUGGCCCCCCAAAGUGUUGGGAUUACAGGCAUGAGCCACCAUGCCUAGCUCCACAUCAGGUAUUUCUAAUGAGAAUUGAACCUACAAAUUGAAAUGUAAGUAUAAAAUAUACAGCAGAUUUCAAAGACAGUGGGAAAAAAUGUACAAUAUCUCUAUUGAUACUUUAAAAAUAUUGAUCACAUGUUGAAAUGGUAGUACUUUAGAUAUGUUGGGUUUAUUUUUAAUUUUUCAAAAUGUGGCUAAUAGAAAAUUUAAAGUUAUAUAUGUAGCUUACAUAAUAUUUCUAUUUGCUGUAGGAUUCAGUGGCUUACCCAGCACUUCAGAAGACAUUUGAAAAUCAGUCAUGUUCCUCAACCAAGUGAUGCCUUUUAGCGGUGCAAAUUCUGUGCUUAGGAAACUUGCUGCUUGCCCUAAUCUUUUCUUUUUUUGUUUUAAAAUGUGUCAUGUGGCAUUUAAUUGUCCUCAUCUUAUCAAGGGUUCAGUGCACCCUAAUGAGACUUGAAUGCAUCACAAAAUGAUUGUUUCAGAAAGAUUGCUUCAACAACAGAAGAUGGAGAUGGGAAGAGAAUGGUGGGGGAUGUGGUAGCAAAGAAGCUAUUCCAAUGAUCCAACCUCAAGAUCAUGCAAAUGUGAACUAAAGCAAUGGCAUCAGGAUGGAGCAGAGAAGAUGGACUGGAGAGAGUUUUAGGAGAUGGAGGAAGGUAGCCUGGGCCCAACUGAACUCACUGUGUAUUCAGAAAAUAACCCACAGUUGGGAAAUUCACAGUGCCAUUGCUUUGAAUCAAAUCCUUACUUCAUACCAGGAUGUACCAUGAUUCUUGGCAACAUGACUGGGUAUUGAUGUCUUGUCUAGCCAAUGAAAUCCACAUAGCAAAGAUGUUAUGAAGACAUGGAAACAUGAAUAUGAAAUAAAAUCAGUAUAGCUAUUUGGAUGAUUAGCUAUCGACACAAGACAGUCCCUGGUAAUUGCCUUUAAUAGUAAGGUAGCACUAGGCCAUGAAAGGUGCUUCAGUGUACCUGCCUCAUUUGUGGCUCCCUUUUGGCCAUGUGACCCUAACUCCCCUGGUCACAAGUGGCUGAACCAGCAAUCAAUACCUGACCUGAAGGCAACCCUCUAUAGGCUGGCAAGUGGCCUACAAAGUUGCUCAGUGCUAGAGAACUGAGCCCAACAGAAGUACAUUCUAAUGUUUAGUGAUUGGCCAAUCGUAUUCUUUGUGAUGGUGCUGAUGGGAAGGUAGUGAUGUGCAUCAGACAUGCAGAGUUAGUAGCAGCUGGAGCAGACACAGAAGCCUCCCUAACAAUGGGCAAUGGAGAAAGGAACAACAGACAGUUCUGAAAGAAUACCAAGUGCUCCUAAGCCAAAAGCUAUAGUUAGGCUGCUGGAGGUACUGCCAGUCCUAAAUGAUGGCAAUGAUGGUCCAUUUUUCUGUGAAACUUGACUGUAUACCUGUUAAGAUUUUUUUGUGUUCUUUUUAAGGCUCCAUGAAUGAAUCUUUCCAAUAAACAAGUUUGUAACAAAGGCAACCUGAACAUUUCUGAUACUUGAAACUUGAAAAUAUCUAAUACAAUUUUACAUCACUUUCAAAUCAUGAGUGAAGAAGUUAAUGUGUUAUUGAA